rnacentral:misc_RNA from 1 species
AAGUCGUAACAAGGUUUCCGUAGGUGAACCUGCGGAAGGAUCAUUAUUGAAUUCAAAGGUUGUGCUGGUUCUUACAAGUGCACGCCUUUAUCAAUUUCCAUACACCUGUGCACCUUUGUAGGUUCCGAGGGAUUCGUCCUUUGGUUCCUAUGUUUUUAUAUACCCCAAUUUAUGUUUUCUGAAUGUUUCUUGUCUUUUGACAACAAAAUCUAUACAACUUUAAGCAACGGAUCUCUUGGCUCUC